UCUAAAGGCGAGUAAAUGGAGACGAAUUAAAAUAUUUUUUUUCCAAUAUAUGUUUCAUAACAUGAAUAUUCAGUUUACUCAAUUAAUCAACAUGGCUUAUAUAUGUCACAAAACUUGGCUCUUGACAAAAUCAUUCUCGCGGGUACCUUUGUCAAGAUAUCCCACUGAGAUCGCCAAGGCUGUUAAAAAUUCAUAUAUCACAUAAAACACAUUUUUCAUUGAGCAUCACAGCCGUUCCUUGGCGUUGGUUGAGUCUCACUCUCACUUGGUGGUUAACGAGAAGUGCACUCAAAAAGCCCACCUCAGGAGAUACCCUACGCGCCUCUACGACCGAGGUGAGAAUAUAAAGGAGUUUACCGUGCCCCUCUAAUAAGCUGGUCCACGGAACCCCCCACCACUGCAGUAGCUAAUCUUUAAUCCACCAAUUGAUCAAAUCUCAAGGGCAUAGCAUGGUAAUUACAUUACUAACCAAUUUAUCAAAGCAAAACAGACAGUUCAUAUUUUUCAACACAAGUAUAAAUUCAAUCAAUCAUGCCAAUUUAUCACAAGCCAUUUAAUAUAAAACCAUAAAUUUACAACACAAGCAGGCAGUCUCCAAUUACUCUAUUUUCAAAAUCAGUAUUCAAUUUUUCAGAAAAUUUAUAAAAUCAUAAUUUCUCCUAAAACAUAGCAAUUUAUCAUUUAAACCCAUUUUCCAUAAAAUCACACAAUUGUAUAAAACUACUCUAGAUAAUUAAGACGAUAAUAAGUUCACUCACUAUUCUAGGAGUCGAUAUACUCCCAACCCUAGUCUUCAAGCACAAUCCUUGUACUUUUACCAGUGUAAUUUGCUCACUACCUUUGAUUGCUUGAUUCCUUGAAAUCCCACACUUUUUCUUCAAUUUUCCCACCUAGGUUUUUGUUCUUUCUUUGUUCUUCUUCACUUCAUGUGGUGGCCGGCCAAAAUGAAGAAAUAAGCUGAUUUUUG
rnacentral:lncRNA from 1 species